UAUGUUGCUUUGUAACCACGUAGAAAGAGUUCUUGCUCCUCUCAGCUAGAUUCUUUGUUGCAGGUGUUCAUUACUCAGCCAGGUAACAUCAGCAGUGCUAGUGGUCAGCUGGAACUGGACUCCGGACCGCAUGGAUAGAGCUUAUAUACCUUGGAGGCGGAGUUAAGGUGGUAAGCUGGAACUGGACUCCGGACUGCAUGGAUAGAGCUUAUAUACCUUGGAGGCAGAGUUAAGAAUAUUUCUGGAAUUUAAUGUGGUCCAGGCUGGCGGCAGUGGGACAAGAGAUGGAAAUGAGAUGACAUUUUACAUCUUGGGUUCGUGUUUUCUGGAAGGCGAGAGGGGAUAUCAAUGUCUUAUCAGCCUGAGAAAUUACCAGCAAUGCAUGAUUAACACAGUUCCAUAUUUCUAAAUAGGAAGUUGUUGCAGAGAAGAUAUAUACAUGACAUUCCAUGUGUUUAGGCUUAACCAUCUGAAGAAGAGGAAGAAGAAGAAGAAGAAGAAGAAGAAGAAGAAGAAGAAGAAGAAGAAGAAGAAGAAGAAGAAGAAGAAGAAGAAGAAGAAGAAGAAGAAGAAAGCAAACUAAAUCCCCACUUUAAAUUACAGAAUUUCUAUGAGAAAAAUACAGUUGGGACGUAUAAGACAGUGAAUAUUCUGCAUGCCUUGAACCUAUAAUGGGCCUGAAACAGAAUAAGUGUAUUCAUCAGUUCAGUGUUUAAUUUUUCAUUUGUUUUGCAUCUCAAGGGCUUGAAAUGCCAGAGCUUUCUUUUCUAUGUACAUCUCUCCUGUUUUGCUGCUAUCUUUUUGUUUAUAAAUUAUAUUUCAUUCCUAAUAACAUUUUUACCUUCUUUCUUCUCUUAUAUUUGUGAUUAA